rnacentral:lncRNA from 1 species
AUGAAGCUGCUGCAGGAUGGGUGGGGUGUCUGGGCAUCUGGGCUGGGGUUGACGAGAGGCCUGGGACAGGGUGAGGGAGCCUGGGUGGUUGAACUGAAGGCAAGAUGGGAAGAGGGUGUCCAGGGCCUGGGAUGGACGGGAGACAGGUUGGGUUCACGGUGUUCAGGGCCUGGAAUGGACAGGAGGCAGGGUGGGUUCAGGGUGUCCAGGGUCUGGAAUGGACGGAAGGCAGGGUGGGUUCAGGGUGUCCAGGGUCUGGAAUGGACGGGAGGCAAGUUGGGUUCAGGGUGUCCAUGGCCUGGAAUGGACGGGAGGCAGGGUGGGUUCACGGUGUUCAGGGCUUGGAAUGGACGGGAGGCAGGGUGGGUUCAGGGUGUCCAUGGCCUGGAAUGGACGGAAGGCAGGGUGGGUUCAGGGUGUCCAGGGUCUGGAAUGGACGGAAGGCAGGGUGGGUUCAGGGUGUCCAGGGUCUGGAAUGGACGGGAGGCAGGGUGGGAAGAGGGUGUCCAUGGCCUAGAAUGGACGGAAGGCAGGGUGGGUUCAGGGUGUCCAGGGCCUGGAAUGGACGGGAGGCAGGUUGGGUUCAGGGUGUCCAUGGCCUGGAAUGGACGGGAGGCAGGGUGGGAAGAGGGUGUCCAUGGCCUGGAAUGGACGGAAGGCAGGGUGGGUUCAGGGUGUCCAGGGCCUGGAAUGGACGGGAGGCAGGUUGGGUUCAGGGUGUUCAGGGCCUGGAAUAGACAGAAGGCAGGGUGGGGUCAGGGUGUCCAUGGCCUGGGAUGGAUGGGAGGCAGGGUGGGUUCAGGGUGUCCAUGGUCUGGAAUGGACGGGAGGCAGGUUGGGUUCAGGGUGUCCAUGGCCUGGAAUGGACGGGAGGCAGGGUGGGAAGAGGGUGUCCAGGGCCUGGAAUGGACGGGAGGCAGGUUGGGUUCAGGGUGUCCAUGGUCUGGAAUGGACGGGAGGCAGGUUGGGUUCAGGGUGUCCAGGGUCUGGAAUGGACGGGAGGCAGGGUGGGUUCAGGGUGUCCAUGGCCUGGAAUGGACGGAAGGCAGGGUGGGUUCAGGGUGUCCAGGGCCUGGAAUGGACGGGAGGCAAGUUGGGUUCAGGGUGUUCAGGGCCUGGAAUAGACAGAAGGCAGGGUGGGGUCAGGGUGUCCAUGGCCUGGGAUGGAUGGGAGGCAUGGUGGGGUCAGGGUGUCCAUGGCCUGGGAUGAAUGGGAGGCAUGGUGGGGUGAGGGUGUUUGACAUGGACCGCAUGGCAGGUAGCAGGGAAGGGUAG